GAUGAAGAACGCAGUGAAAUGCGAUAAGUAAUGUGAAUUGCAGAAUCCAGUGAAUCAUCGAAUCUUUGAACGCACAUUGCGCCCGCCAGCAUUCUGGCGGGCAUGCCUGUUCGAGCGUCAUUUCAACCCUCGACCUCCCCUUGGGGAGGUCGGCGUUGGGGACCGGCAGCACACCGCCGGCCCUGAAAUGGAGUGGCGGCCCGUCCGCGGCGACCUCUGCGCAGUAAUACAGCUCGCACCGGGACCCCGACGCGGCCACGCCGUAAAACACCCAACUUCUGAACGUUGACCUCGAAUCAGGUAGGACUACCCGCUGAACUUAAGCAUAUCAAUAAGCGGAGGA
rnacentral:misc_RNA from 1 species